UGAGGAAUAUUGGACAAUGGGCGAGAGCCUGAUCCAGCCAUGCCGCGUGCAGGAAGACUGCCCUAUGGGUUGUAAACUGCUUUUAUACGGGAAGAAACCCACCUACGUGUAGGUGGCUGACGGUACCGUAAGAAUAAGCAUCGGCUAACUCCGUGCCAGCAGCCGCGGUAAUACGGAGGAUGCAAGCGUUAUCCGGAAUCAUUGGGUUUAAAGGGUCCGUAGGUGGAUUAAUAAGUCAGAGGUGAAAGCCUGCAGCUUAACUGUAGAACUGCCUUUGAUACUGUUAAUCUUGAAUUAUUGUGAAGUAGUUAGAAUAUGUAGUGUAGCGGUGAAAUGCAUAGAUAUUACAUAGAAUACCGAUUGCGAAGGCAGAUUACUAACAAUAUAUUGACACUGAUGGACGAAAGCGUGGGGAGCGAACAGG
rnacentral:rRNA from 1 species